CAUAGGUAUCCGCCUAGUAGUGGGGGGACAACCUGGUGAAAACCAGGCUAAUACCGCAUAAGAUCUACGGAUGAAAGGAGGCCUCUUCUUGAAAGCUUUCGCUAUUAGAUGAGCCUAUGUCAGAUUAGCUAGUUGGUAGGGUAAUGGCCUACCAAGGCGACGAUCUGUAGCUGGUCUGAGAGGAUGAUCAGCCACACUGGGACUGAGACACGGCCCAG
rnacentral:rRNA from 1 species